AGAGUUUGAUCAUGGCUCAGAACGAACGCUGGCGGCAGGCUUAACACAUGCAAGUCGAACGCCCCGCAAGGGGAGUGGCAGACGGGUGAGUAACGCGUGGGAAUCUACCCUUUGGUACGGGAUAGCUCCGGGAAACUGGAAUUAAUACCGUAUGUGCCCUGAGGGGCAAAGAUUUAUCGCCAAAGGAUGAGCCCGCGUUGGAUUAGCUAGUUGGUGGGGUAAAGGCCUACCAAGGCGACGAUCCAUAGCUGGUCUAAGAGGAUGAUCAGCCACAUUGGGACUGAGACACGGCCCAAACUCCUACGGGAGGCAGCAGUGGGGAAUAUUGGACAAUGGGCGCAAGCCUGAUCCANCCAUGCCGCGUGAGUGAUGAAGGUCUUAGGAUGGUAAAGCUCUUUCACCGGGGACGAUAAUGACGGUACCCGGAGAAGAAGCCCCG
rnacentral:rRNA from 1 species